rnacentral:rRNA from 1 species
CCUACGGGAGGCAGCAGUGAGGAAUCUUCCGCAAUGGACGAAAGUCUGACGGAGCAACGCCGCGUGCAGGAUGACGGCCUUCGGGUUGUAAACUGCUUUUAUUUGGGAAGAUUAUGACGGUACCAAAUGAAUAAGGACCGGCUAACUACGUGCCAGCAGCCGCGGUAAUACGUAGGGUCCAAGCGUUAUCCGGAAUCACUGGGCGUAAAGCGUGCGUAGGCGGAUUGUUAAGUGCAGUGCGAAAUCCUGUGGCUCAACCAUAUGGACUGUAUUGCAUACUGGCAAUCUGGAGGACAUGAGAGGCAAGUGGAAUUACUAGUGUAGCAGUGAAAUGCGUAGAGAUUAGUAGGAACACCAAUGGCGAAGGCAGCUUGCUGGCAUGUAUCUGACGCUAAGGCACGAAAGCGUGGGGAGCGAACAGGAUUAGAUACCCUUGUAGU